rnacentral:rRNA from 1 species
UUACGGGAGGCAGCAGUGGGGAAUCUUGCACAAUGGGCGAAAGCCUGAUGCAGCCAUGCCGCGUGUGUGAAGAAGGCCUUCGGGUUGUAAAGCACUUUAAGUGGGGAGAAAAGGGUAGUCAUUAACACUGGCUAUCUGUGAUGUUACCCACAGAAUAAGCACCGGCAAACUUCGUGCCAGCAGCCGCGGUAAUACGAAGGGUGCGAGCGUUAAUCGGAAUUACUGGGCGUAAAGAGCACGUAGGCGGUUUGAUAAGCGGAAUGUGAAAUCCCCGGGCUUAACCUGGGAACUGCAUUCCGAACUGUCAGGCUAGAGUGUGGUAGAGGUGAGCGGAAUUUCCUGUGUAGCGGUGAAAUGCGUAGAUAUAGGAAGGAACAUCAGUUGCGAAGGCGGCUCACUGGACCAACACUGACGCUGAGGUGCGAAAGCGUGGGUAGCGAACAGGAUUAGAUACCCGGGUAGUCCC